UACAGAGGGUGCAAGCGUUGUUCGGAAUUAUUGGGCGUAAAGCGCGUGUAGGCGGCUUUGCAAGUCGGGUGUGAAAGCCCUCAGCUCAACUGAGGAAGUGCGCCCGAAACUGCAGAGCUUGAGUACCGGAGAGGAUGGUGGAAUUCCCCAAGUAGAGGUGAAAUGCGUAGAUAUCGGGAGGAACACCAGUGGCGAAGGCGGCAUCCUGGCCAUGUCCUGACGCUCAGGGGCGAAAGCGUGGGGAGCAAACCGG
rnacentral:rRNA from 1 species